AUUACGCUUUAUAUUUUAUCGUUGGACUGUUUAGUAGCGAGAGGGGUCCGAACUGUUACACGAAUUAUGCUGGCAGAAUGUUAUGCAGUAAUAUGAGGAUUUUUUUUCCAGAAUUUUAAAGGGUUUAUAACUCCCUUGUAACCUCCCUCAUAAUCAUUCUUAAUACCCACAUCAAAUACCAUCAUUUACGCUUGGUUUCGUUUCCUUAUUAAUCCUCAUAUUUUGCGGCACUAGACUAACGUGAGUGAUACUCACUCUUGCAACAAACUCUUCGGCCUCCUUUAGAGAGAAAGUUAUUAUUAUUAUUUUUUUUCCUCACCUUCAUCUUCUCCUACCAUUGUUGUUCACCAAGAAGCCCCAUUUUUAUUCACCCCUUUUUGUCACAUACAACACAUAGUAUAUCUUCAUUCUUAUCUUAGAUUACUAAGCUCUUGUUGGGGUUGCUAGGAGGUCAUCACUUGGAGGACGAACAGGUGAACGACGGCGGGAACUAGACGACUUAGCUUCACUCCUCCAGUUGGCCCAGGUUAAUAUGUUGCAGUAUGGUUUUGUCAUGGGGUUUGAGAGAUAUUGUCGAGCUUCAAUAGGAGGAUUACUUAUUUUGUUUCUUUGCGUUAUUUGUGAGAUUUUGUGAUCGUGUUAUUUCGUUAUAGUUACUUUUGGAUUAAUGUUCUAUGGGAUUUAUUUUGUUGUUGUUUUAGUUUUUAUUCGAACUUUAGAGUGACACUGUCCGUCUUGACGAUAUUUCCGCUGUCUACUACUUAAUAAAUCUUUCUAUUUUGUUUA